GGCCCCAUCGUCUAGCCCGGCCUAGGACGCCGCCCUCUCAAGGCGGAGACACCGGUUCAAAUCCGGUUGGGGCCACCA
rnacentral:tRNA from 1 species